UAUCUGGUUGAUCCUGCCAGUAGUCAUAUGCUUGUCUCAAAGAUUAAGCCAUGCAUGUCUAAGUAUAAGCACUCGUACUGUGAAACUGCGAAUGGCUCAUUAAAUCAGUUAUCGUUUAUUUGAUUGUACCUUUACUACUUGGAUAACCGUGGUAAUUCUAGAGCUAAUACAUGCGAAAAGUCCCGACUUCUGGAAGGGAUGUAUUUAUUAGAUUCAAAACCAAUGCGGGUUCUGCCCGGUCGUUUGGUGAUUCAUAGUAACUGUUCGAAUCGCAGGGCCUCGCGCCGGCGAUGUUUCAUUCAAAUUUCUGCCCUAUCAACUGUCGAUGGUAAGGUAUUGGCUUACCAUGGUUACAACGGGUGACGGAGAAUUAGGGUUCGAUUCCGGAGAGGGAGCCUGAGAAACGGCUACCACAUCCAAGGAAGGCAGCAGGCGCGCAAAUUACCCAAUCCUGACCCAGGGAGGUAGUGACAAGAAAUAACAAUACAGGGCUUUUCUAAGUCUUGUAAUUGGAAUGAGUACAACUUAAAUCCUUUAACGAGG
rnacentral:ncRNA from 1 species